rnacentral:tRNA from 1 species
GCCUUCGUGGUCUAGUGGUUAUGACGCUCGCCUCGUCAGUGAGAGGUCGCAGGUUCGAAUCCCGUCGAAGGCA